ACCUGGCUGGCUCAGUUGGUUGAGCGUGAGACUCCUAAUCUUGGGGUUGUGGGUUCAAGCCCUAUGUUAGGUG